rnacentral:lncRNA from 1 species
GGUUCCCCACGGAGACAACCUUUACGCCGCUGAAGUCAGAGGUCGUCCGUUCCAGAGGGAAACAGUGGCGACACCCCAGUGCCUGAGGAGACAGAGGCGUUCAGUAGACUAAUGGGGUCUGACUUCAUCAUUAAGAAGGCCACCUCCACAAGAGGGCAGACUGUUGGAGGUGAUUUCUGUUGAAGAUGUCUAUGUGUGCCAGCGUUCGCAGGUGUGAAGAAGCCAGAGUCUC